rnacentral:tRNA from 1 species
GCCCAUGUAGCUCAGUUGGUAGAGCGCAUCCUUGGUAAGGAUGAGGUCAGCGGUUCGAAUCCGCUCAUGGGCU